CACCNGUGGCGAANGGCGGGUUUCUGGCCGAUGAUUGAACGCUGAAGGUGCGAAAGGUGUGGGGAGCAAACAGGAUUAGAUACCCUGGUAGUCCACACAGUAAACGAUGUACACUAGGUGUUGGGGUAAACUCAGUGCCGGCGCAAACGCAUUAAGUGUACCGCCUGGGGAGUAUGCCCGCAAGGGU
rnacentral:rRNA from 1 species